rnacentral:lncRNA from 1 species
CUUGAACAAAAUCCUAGGAGACACAAAAGUUCGGACUCGGUGAUCCAGUACCGUGGUUUCGCGUUCCCGUCUCCGAGAUUGGAAACCUUGCCCUCCGUGGCGGGCAGGCCUGUGGGCCAAGUAUGUGUCUUCCUUGGGCCAGCCGCUCUCCUUCGGGAUAGAGCGACGGUUCAAGUCGAGGACGCAGCUUGGUCAACAGGUCUGGGUCGCCUGUCUUGAAAGCAUAGCUGGCCUACCUUGCAUAAGCGUAGGUUUGGACAGGCACCGAUAUCCCACGCGUGGAUUGAAUCUUGUCAGAGUCAAUAUGUAGAAAUAGAAGUAGAUUACCUAGCGAUGAUAUUUGGAUUUCUAGAGC